ACGUGCUUACGUUUAAGGGAGUCAGACCCCGGUCCCCGGAGCUGUGUCCCGCGGCUGCUUAACGGCGAAAGCUUCCUAUUUGCAACCAGAACCGUCUGAGCUACUGGGCAUGCCCAGUCCCACCACUGGAAAGAGUGGGCAGAGAAGAGAGAGCUUUGAUUCUGACAUGAGAGUCAAAUUGCAAAAUGCAAAGAACGGAGUGUUUAAAAAAUGCCUGGUGAUGCCCCCACAGUACCGCCAGCUGCUGAGUGACCAUGGGCCACUAUCCAUAGGCUACACCCAGGGAGCUGGGAACAGCCAGGAGCCCCAGUGAAGAGUUGAGGAGAGAUCAACCCUGCCUACGUGGAGUAAGAACAGAAUAAAGAGACUAAAUCGAGGCAUUAUUCACUCUAGAAAGUUGGUAAGGGUUUUUUCCUUCACAAGAGCACUCAGUACAGCCGGUGAAUUACAGCCUUUAUCAAGAAUGGAAAGAGCUCUCAGCUCUGCUGUAUAGCAGCAGGAAGAAUCUUUUCAUUUGUAUUUAACAAGACUUAAAAGCAAGCACUUCCACCAGGAGCCCCUACCAGCUUUGUGCUGCUUUCAGCUUAUGCCAGGUUACCCUGAUUCUUGUACCCAACCUUACUGCAGCCCCCCUGGUUUGGAGCUCCACUUCCUUCUGUGUUAUAUCAGCACCUGCCACCUCUGCUCUAAUUAAAAUGUUGGUAGCAUUUCA